GCGAUGAAGCGGGAGGUUGCCAUGCCCCUGGCAUGGGUUUUUCCGUGGAGUAUGUCCGAUUUUAAACCGGGCGACA
rnacentral:ncRNA from 1 species